rnacentral:rRNA from 1 species
UAUGAACGCUGGCGGCGUGCCUAAUACAUGCAAGUCGAGCGAACAGACGAGGAGCUUGCUCCUCUGACGUUAGCGGCGGACGGGUGAGUAACACGUGGAUAACUUACCUAUAAGACUGGGAUAACUUAGGGAAACCGGAGCUAAUACCGGAUAAUAUAUUGAACCGCAUGGUUCUAUAGUGUACGACGGUUUUGAUGUCACUUAUUGAUGGUACCGCGCCGCAUUAGACAGUUGGUAAGGUAACGGAUUACCAAGGCGACGAUGCGUAGCCGACCUGUGAGGGUGAUCAGCCACACUGGAACUGAGAGACGGUCCAGACUCCUAAGGGAGGCAGCAGUUGGGAAUAUUCCGCAAUGGGCGAAAGCUUGACAGAGCAACACCGCGUGGGUGAUGAAGGUCUUCGGAUCGUAAAACUCUGUUAUUAGGGACGAAAAAAUGUGUAAUUACCUCUGCACGUCUUGACGGUACCUAAUCAGAAAGCCACGGCUAACUUCGUG